rnacentral:rRNA from 1 species
CCUACGGGGGGCAGCAGUGGGGAAUAUUGGACAAUGGAGGGAACCCUGAUCCAGCCAUGCCGCGUGUGUGAAGAAGGCCCUCGGGUUGUAAAGCACUUUCAGUGAGGAAGAACGCCUGGUGGUUAAUACCCAUCAGGAAAGACAUCACUCACAGAAGAAGCACCGGCUAACUCCGUGCCAGCAGCCGCGGUAAUACGGAGGGUGCGAGCGUUAAUCGGAAUUACUGGGCGUAAAGCGCGCGUAGGUGGCUUGAUAAGCCGGUUGUGAAAGCCCCGGGCUCAACCUGGGAACGGCAUCCGGAACUGUCAAGCUAGAGUGCAGGAGAGGAAGGUAGAAUUCCCGGUGUAGCGGUGAAAUGCGUAGAGAUCGGGAGGAAUACCAGUGGCGAAGGCGGCCUUCUGGACUGACACUGACACUGAGGUGCGAAAGCGUGGGUAGCAAACAGGAUUAGAUACCCUGGUAGUC